CAUGCAAGUCGUACGAGUUUCAUCUGGGUAACUGGAUGAAAAAAGUGGCGAAAGGGGCAGUAAGGCAUGGAUAAUCUACCCUGAUGACCGGGAUAGCUGUCCCAACGGGCAGGUAAUACCGGAUGAGCUGGUGGGGCCGCAUGGUUCUGCCAGGAAAGGCGCAAGCCGUGUCGGGAGGAAUCCAUGUGAUAUUAGCUAGUUGGUGAGGUAAAGGCUCACCAAGGCGAAGAUGUCUAGCGGGUGUGAGAGCACGACCCGCGCCAUUGGCACUGAGACACUGGCCAGACUCCUACGGGAGGCUGCAGUCGAGGAUCUUCGGCAAUGGGCGAAAGCCUGACCGAGCGACGCCGCGUGAGCGAUGAAGGCCAUUAGGUUGUAAAGCUCUGUCGAGGGGGAACAAGCCGCAAGGUUGAGUGAUCCCUGGAGGAAGCACGGGCUAAGUUCGUGCCAGCAGCCGCGGUAAGACNAACCGUGCGAACGUUGUUCGGAAUC
rnacentral:rRNA from 1 species